rnacentral:rRNA from 1 species
UACCUUACCAACUAGCUAAUACGGCGCAGGUCCAUCUAUAAGUGAUAGCAAAGCCAUCUUUCACUAUCGAACCAUGCGGUUCGAAAUAUUAUCCGGUAUUAGCUCCGGUUUCCCGAAGUUAUCCCAGUCUUAUAGGUAGGUUACCUACGUGUUACUCACCCGUCCGCCGCUAACAUCAAAGGAGCAAGCUCCUCGUCUGUUCGCUCGACUUGCAUGUAUUAGGCACGCCGCCAGCGUUCAUCCUGAGCCAGGAUCAAACUCU